CUACGGGUGGCAGCAGUGGGGAAUAUUGGACAAUGGGGGAAACCCUGAUCCAGCAAUGCCGCGUGUGUGAAGAAGGCCUGCGGGUUGUAAAGCACUUUCGGUUGGGAGGACUGCUUCUAGCACUAAUAUUGUUGGAAGUUGACGUUACCUUCAGAAGAAGCACCGGCUAACUCCGUGCCAGCAGCCGCGGUAAUACGGAGGGUGCACGCGUUAAUCGGAAUUACUGGGCGUAAAGCGCGCGUAGGCGGCUAGAUCAGUCGGGUGUGAAAGCCCCGGGCUUAACCUGGGAACUGCAUCCGAUACUGUCUAGCUUGAGUACAGGGGAGGAGAGUGGAAUUCCACAUGUAGCGGUGAAAUGCGUAGAUAUGUGGAGGAACACCAAUGGCGAAGGCAGCUCUCUGGCCUGAUACUGACGCUGAGGUGCGAAAGCGUGGGGAGCAAACAGGAUUAGAUACCCCAGUAGUC
rnacentral:rRNA from 1 species